UCCCAGGUCCCGGAGGGCGAGAGCCUUCUAACUCCGUCAGGACCCCGAAGGUAGCAGCGGCAUGAGGUGUCUCCUGUCGCUUCGGUCGGCCUGGGACAU
rnacentral:SRP_RNA from 1 species